rnacentral:rRNA from 1 species
GGGGAAUUUUGGACAAUGGGCGCAAGCCUGAUCCAGCCAUGCCGCGUGAGUGAAGAAGGCCUUCGGGUUGUAAAGCUCUUUCGGCGGGGAAGAAAUGGCGCUUUCUAAUACAGGGCGUUGAUGACGGUACCCGCAUAAGAAGCACCGGCUAACUACGUGCCAGCAGCCGCGGUAAUACGUAGGGUGCGAGCGUUAAUCGGAAUUACUGGGCGUAAAGCGUGCGCAGGCGGUUGUGUAAGUCAGAUGUGAAAUCCCCGGGCUCAACCUGGGAACUGCAUUUGAGACUGCACGGCUAGAGUGUGACAGAGGGGGGUAGAAUUCCACGUGUAGCAGUGAAAUGCGUAGAGAUGUGGAGGAAUACCGAUGGCGAAGGCAGCCCCCUGGGUUACUACUGACGCUCAUGCACGAAAGCGUGGGGAGCAAAC